rnacentral:rRNA from 1 species
GAUCAGAUACCGUCGUAGUCUCAACCAUAAACUAUGUGGACCAACGAUCCGAGGAAGUUACAUGGAUGACUCUCCGGGCAGUUUGUGAGAAAUCAUAAGUAUUUGCAUUCCGGGGGGAGUAUGGUCGCAAGGCUGAAACUUAAAGGAAUUGACGGAAGGGCACCACCAGGAGUGGAACCUGCGGCUUAAUUUGACUCAACACGGGGAAACUUACCAGGUCCGGACACAGUUAGGAUUGACAGAUUGAGAGCUCUUUCUUAAUUCUGUGGGUGGUGGUGCAUGGCCGUUUUUAGUUGGUGGAGUGAUUUGUCUGGUUAAUUCCGUUAACGAACGAGACCUCAACCUAUUAAUUAGUUAUGCGAUCAUGAGCUUCGGCUCUUUCCGAUCGUGGACAACUUCUUAGAGGGACUCUCGGCAUCUCUAGCCGAUGGAAGUUUGAGGCUAAAACAGGUCUGUGAUGCCCUUAGAUGUCCUGGGCCGCACGCGCGUUACACUGACGAAUGCAACGAGUUCUUCCUUCUCCGAUGGGAGUGGGUAAGCUUUUAAAAGUUCGUCGUGAUGGGGAUUGAACCUUGCAAUUAUUGUUCAUGAACGAGGAAUUCCUAGUAAGCGCAGUUCAUCAAACUGCGUUGAUUACGUCCCUGCCCUUUGUACACACCGCCCGUCGCUAGUACCGAUUGAAUGGUCCGGUGAGGAUUCAGGAUGGCAGAGCUUUAGCUUGCCCGAAAGGGUAAGCGUGUUCAGCCAGAAUCUGUUCAAACCGUGCCAUUUAGAGGAACUAAAAGUCGUAACAAGGUUUCCGUAGGUGAACCUGCAGAAGGAUCA